rnacentral:rRNA from 1 species
CCUUUGACGUUAGCGGCGGACGGGUGAGUAACACGUGGGUAACCUACCUAUAAGACUGGGAUAACUUCGGGAAACCGGAGCUAAUACCGGAUAAUAUUUCGAACCGCAUGGUUCGAUAGUGAAAGGUGGUUUUGCUAUCACUUAUAGAUGGACCCGCGCCGUAUUAGCUAGUUGGUAAGGUAACUGCUUACCAAGGCGACGAUACGUAGCCGACCUGAGAGGGUGAUCGGCCACACUGUAACUGAGACACGGUCCAGACUCCUACGGGAGGCAGCAGAC